rnacentral:rRNA from 1 species
AUUGAACGCUAGCGGCAUGCCUUACACAUGCAAGUCGAACGGCGUGUCGAACGGGUGAGUACUGUCUCGGAACGUGCCCAUUAGCGGGGGAUACCUACGCGAAAGCGUAGCUUAUACCGCAUACUAUUGGAGCGGCCUAUAUCGGAUUAGCUUGUUGGUGGGGUAACGGCUUACCAAGGCGACGAUCCAUAGCUGGUUUGAGAGGACGACCGGCCACACUGGGACUGAGACACGGCCCAGACUCCUACGGGAGGCAGCAGUGGGGAAUUUUGGACAAUGGGGGAAAGCCUGAUCCAGCCAUCCCGCGUGAGCGAUGAAGGCCUUCGGGUUGUAAAGCACUGUUGGCAGGAAAGCGGUACCUGCAGAAUAAGCACCGGCUAACUACGUGCCAGCAGCCGCGGUAAUAC